rnacentral:rRNA from 1 species
GACGAACGCUGGCGGCGUGCUUAACACAUGCAAGUCGAACGAUGAAGCCGGAGCUUGCUCUGGUGAAUUAGUGGCGAACGGGUGAGUAACACGUGAGUAACCUGCCCUUGACUCUGGGAUAACUGCGGGAAACUGUAGCUAAUACCGGAUACGACCCUCGGAGGCAUCUCCUGGGGGUGGAAAGAAUUUCGGUCCAGGAUGGACUCGCGGCCUAUCAGCUAGUCGGUGAGGUAAAGGCCUACCAAGACGACGAUCCUUAGCUGGUCUGGGAGGAUGAUCAGCCACACUGGGACUGAGACACGGCCCAGACUCCUACGGGAGGCAGCAGUGGGGAAUUUUGGACAAUGGGGGCAACCCUGAUCCAGCCAUGCCGCGUGAGUGAAGAAGGCCUUCGGGUUGUAAAGCUCUUUCGGCCGGGAAGAAAUCGUAUGGGCUAAUACCCUGUGCGGAUGACGGUACCGGCAUAAGAAGCACCGGCUAACUAC